rnacentral:rRNA from 1 species
UAGGGAAUCUUCCACAAUGGACGCAAGUCUGAUGGAGCAACGCCGCGUGAGUGAAGAAGGCUUUCGGGUCGUAAAACUCUGUUAUUNAAGAAGAACGUGUGUGACAGUAACUGGUCAUGCAGUGACGGUAUUCAAUCAGAAAGUCACGGCUAACUACGUGCCAGCAGCCGCGGUAAUACGUAGGUGGCAAGCGUUGUCCGGAUUUAUUGGGCGUAAAGCGAGUGCAGGCGGUCUUUUAAGUCUGAUGUGAAAGCCUUCGGCUUAACCGAAGAAGGGCAUCGGAAACUGGGAGACUUGAGUGCAGAAGAGGAGAGUGGAACUCCAUGUGUAGCGGUGAAAUGCGUAGAUAUAUGGAAGAACACCAGUGGCGAAGGCGGCUCUCUGGUCUGUAACUGACGCUGAGGCUCGAAAGCGUGGGUAGCAAACAGGAUU